rnacentral:misc_RNA from 1 species
UCGACACUCAGGAACGGUGAACUGAGAGCUCCGCACUCUUGCGGUCCCUCCCACCCAACUUCCUCUGCGCUUGCCACUCAACCAUUGCACUGUAGGCGAUCCUCCUCGCAACGAGCACAGUGGUGGUGAGCAGAGCGGAUUCCGGCACACUUCUGCACGCUUACAGAAAUUCACGCAAGCACACACACGCAACAUAGAUAUAGACGCACGUGCGAGAUCAUACGCGCUCGCAUGGGCUACGCCCGGCACGUGUGCGUCUACUGUGGCUCGAAAAGGAAAAGAGGAGCACCUCCGGCUAAUUUUCUUGUCACUCUCCUCCUGCUGUGCGGCUGCUCAGUCGCGGUAACGCGAGCACUUCCAUACUAGAGGGGCGGAUAACUUGAUGUGCACAGAAGGCGCAAACUGGAUAUACAUAGUUCUUGUUUGUUUUCGGAAGCUCCGCAAGAAAGCGAGAAGCGCACCCAUAUAUACAGGGAGAGCGGGAGCGUGAGGUAACCCUCACGCAGCGGGGAGCACCAGCACAGCGGAGGUUUUCGUCUUCGCUUUUGUUGCUGCCGCUGCUCGCACUGUUCGAGUUCUUGCGCACCGUCUUCCUCGCUCGCUGCCCCGCCAUACGAUGAUAAGCAAGGUUGACCUCAUGGUGCUGCCCUCAGCAUGCAGCGAUGACGAGCCUCGCUCACAUGGGCCGCAUCCCGACUCACCGCCUGUGACGUCGGCACGGUGUUCAGCACCGUUGCUCCCGUCGGGCGCGGCGUACAGGGCCACUCCCUCUACCCUCGUUACUGCGCCGGGAACUCAGGUGAGUGUGUUGAACCUUGUGAGCGCUCUGCCACUUCUCUUGUCGUUGGACCGAUCCCACUACACGGCGACGCUGGGCAAUGCACAGGGGGGCGUGCUGGAUACCCUCACCGCGCCAGCUGCCCGAGGUGACGGUCGCCUUGGCCCGCUGAGCUGGACGACGAUUACCACCGAUGCCGCCACCGCAGCGGUGCGUGCGGUACUGUACGCUCGCGGGACGCCGUCUUGGCAAGCGAAGCGGCGGCGACUGCGACGGCUCGCGCUCGACUCAUUCUUUCGCUCAACCGUGUCGGCUCGCAUCUCCGUGCGCCGCGAGCGCGGUGCUAAAGGCGGGGAUGGCGUGCACGAGGCAGUAGUGCGGCUGCUGCACCACACACGCGCCGUUAUGUCGGACAUCUCGCCGACACAAGCGCAUUUGGUCGAUCUUUUUGCGGCCCAGAUCAUGUGCGGUGCGCAGAGUGCUGGUGCCGCCGUGGAAGGCUCACCGCACGCAGCCGCGGGCAAGGCGAUUGAUGAGACAACUGACGCGGAAGGCGGGCAGUCACUGGGCGCUUCACACGCCUCCACGGCGAUGAUGAGGGAGCGUUCAAAGCCCGAGUUUGAGCGACGCGGCAUCAUGAAAAGCGGCGUCUCCCCCUCAAUCUCGGUCACCGCAUCACCGCGCCACGCCCAAGGCGAGAUUACCAGCACACCUGCCUCUGCUACCGUUGCGGAGCAACUGCUCUAUAUUAUUCUCCGCACCAGCAUUGCGGCGAAUACGCCACGGCGGCCCCUUGCCAUGCACGGUGACGACACGCCUGCGCUCUUGGCAGAUGGGCUGCAUACAUCCCCACCACAAGGCACUGACGGCGCCACCGCGGUGGGAGGCCUGACGCGCAAAAAGCCGCGGCUAGACAACUUCGAUUGCAUCAGUCCCGCGACUUUGUCGUCGGAAAACGGGCAAUCGAUUUAUCGGUACUCUAGCGAUGCUGGUAGUGCAAACCCGGCUACUGCGCUGCCCUACGAGCCGUACUGCUGGCUAGCGCCGUCGACGGUGGCGCUAGUGGAGUGCUCACAGGCGCUGCGACGACACCAGCGCUGGACGUGCGACCUGGAUCCGGUGAUCGAGGCCACCGUAGCUGGAGAGGGCUCAAGAACCCACAGCAGCCACCUGUUUAGGGGCGCGGGCACCCGCUCCGCCGCUGUCGUGUCGCUGCUUGACAGUAUGCGUAACUCGUGGGCUCCUCUACCUGGCAUGGCAGACAGCGACGACGCUGCGGUUUUGACGGCUCUUGUGCGUGACAGUGGGCUUCCGUUUGCCCCAGCGUCAAUUUCAGCUGCACUGGACAUGGCGCAUGAAGCUGGGCCUGCAAGCCACUCCCGUGGUUUUCAGUGGGGGCAGACGAUGAUGGGAGGGGAAGAUCCCGCCGUCGAGGCCCUGUUUGCGGACGGUCGAGCUCGCCGCAUCGAUUCCCGCCGUGGCGAGGCAGAUGGUAUCCCCGGCAGUGAAGGGGCAACGCAGACAAGACAGCGCGAGGCCGAUGCUGCGGCAACUGCUCUGCCUGCAUGUCGCAUCCCUUUCGUAUCCUGCCUGCCGUUGUACGACGAGGUUGUGUACGCGCAGGUGCACCUGGCCCUGCACUGGUGCACUGCUGGCCAUGCUGAUCCGUUUUGUCUCACCCACAUUGACAACACAGCCGGCUCAAACUUGCCGGCGUUGCGCGUUCGCGAUGAGUUUUACGCCCGCCCGUUGCCGACCAAUGGUGGCGCCGGGACAGCCGCCGCCGCGACCGCCAUCAGUGGUUUGGCUUCUCUGCUGGAGUGGGGCUGCUACUACGGGACGCUGCUGCGCCGACUUCACCGCCUCUGCGAUGUAGCUGACAACGUCGCGCUGCGCGGCACUCUCGGCAGCUACGGCCGUUGUGCCAUGAGCACCUUGCGCCUCCUGCUAUGCUUGCUGCAGCGACAGAUUGGGGAGCUGGGGCACCAGGCAGGCGGACCUCACCGGCUGAGCUUCGCGGAGCUGCUCACGGCACACCAACGGCUGCAGCGAGCAGUGGAGCAGGUGGAGGUCCUUGCGGUGUUUUUCGGUGUCCCGGCCGUGGCCGCGGUGCCAGAGGCGUGGGACCCUGUCGACGUCCUCGAAGAACGCUGCUCAUCGGCGUUGCUUAUCUCACGUCUGUACGAGUGCUUCACUGCGCGUCAUGCCGAUGCGCUUGGUCGGCACGGAAGCGCUGCCACCCACUACCACGAACUGCAGCAGGAGCGGCUCGCCGAACUGCUCUCCUCGUUGGGCGGUGAAGAUAGUGAGGAGUUGCCGCUGCAGGCGAAUACGCCGGGCGGCGGCGCCGACCAGCAGCGGCAGAAAAUGCGAGCUGCCUUGGCCGCGGUUGAGUCUGGGACGGCCCCUCCCUCGGUGAGAAUUUCGCCUCUAGACACCGGCGACAACUACGGCGCCUGGGAGCAGCAUCGCAAGGACCUGCUCAGCUACUCCAUCGACGUCAUCGGACUUCUGCUCCGCUCAACCCUGCGUCCUCUAAACGCGAUGCUGGACCGCUGGCUCAAGGCAGGCGAGCUGGCCGAUCCGUAUGACGAGUUUUUUGUGGUCCCGUCUCACGGCCAGACGCAUAGCGGCUUCACCUUGGAGCCUUCACCACAGCGGCUACCGGUAUUUCUAUCUGUUGCAGCUGCCACAGACCUUCUCCACGCUGGGGUAAGCCUGCGGGUGCUUCGAGUGGCUUCGACGCACGUCGUGCUCAGCGCCCAGAAGGACGCACGUCAACUGGAAGCCAUGGCGGAGAUCAAUGAGGCCGCGGCGGAGGACUACGUUGGGGAACUGCUCGAUACGCAGACGCUGCGACGCGCGAUUGAACAAUUUAUCGAGCAACUCGUGCACGGUGCACCGACAGCGGAUGCUGUGCACGAUAUGCGACACUCGGGGACUGGCGCCAACGACGAAGUCGAAGUCACCGACGCGGCCCCAAUGCCGCUGCCGCCGCGUGUCGACUUGCUGUCGGCGUACGGCGCCAUCAACUGGUGGAAGGAGCACUACCAGGCCUGCACACGUGUCUUGCUCGAGGUGGUGAAGGAGGCCGCGAAUCCUGCGGAGGGCGGUGACGAGGACGGCUCCACCGAAGCUGCUCCAGACCCGUCGCUUUGGUUGCAUGCGGACGAGGAAGAGGGGCUGCGUAGUGCUGAAGAGGCGUCAGCGGCCGAGAACGAACAUGUCGGUGGCGCUACUGCCUCCGAAACGCACACUGGCCAUGCCGAGUUGUCCCUCUCCUGCGCCACCGCUGCGCCAGCCGCACGAGACGAUCACCAUCGUGAUCGCUCUCCUCACGUGAAGGCUGCUUUCCCGUCAAAGGAGUCGACGAGUGAGGCGUCGUCGUACAUUACCGUUUUCAUAAACUCCGACGACGAUGAGGACCGCGGCGCCCACUCGGGAAUGGGGAGGGCGACAGGCGGGAGGCAGGGGGCGGACAGCGCUUCCAUUGCCUCCUCGUCUCCUCGCUCCUCUACGACUACGACGACGAGCGUGCUUGGCCUACGCCGCAUCGCCGGUUCCCGCUUCUCAACUGGGACAACUGUGUCCUCGACAGCCUCGUCGCGUGGCACCAUGGCCCUCUAUGGCGCCAUCACGGAGGAACUACGCCAAGUCUCGCUGCUCGAGCAGCAAACGGAGGCGGACCUCGGGCAAUGCCGCCAAGCGCUCCGCGCCGAGUUCGACGCGCAACUGUGGCGCCGCCGACGAGACAAUCGACUGAGCGACUGGAAGGCCCAGCGACUAGCGCUACGGCUGCGGCGAGUGCGCGCCAUGGAGGGCAUCGUUGAAGAACUGCGCGAUGUGUACAUGAUACGCGCUGUCGGGCACACCGAAAUUCAAGGGUCAGCGUCGCGCUCCAUCGAGGAAGUGGCACCCUCGCAUCAAAGCAGGAGCGAGAAAGAGGAAACCGAGCAACACGGGGCGGGCCAAGAGCCUUCCGUGGCCGGCCCCACAAUGACGGAGAUGCGCGUUGUGGUGCCGCUCCGCCAGCUGCCGCCCCCACGCGUCGCACCGCCGGUGAUUCUGUACGCCGUUCCAGACGACGAGGAUGGCGUCGACGGCGUGACCGGGGGGAGGCGUGGCAGUCGUCUCUUCCCUGGUCGCUCGCGUCGCACGAGUUUCGCGGCAAAUACGACCAUCAUGGAGCUGCCCGCAACAGGUGCGCGUGAUACCCCUCAGUCCUGUGGGCGGCAGCGGCGCUCUCUCAGCGCAAGCAUACUGCGCACCAGCAACUGGCCGAGGACGUCAGGGUCACCGUCGUUGUCGGCGUGCACGGCACGGCGAGUUUCUGCUGCAGCAGCCGGCGCUGGAGGCGUCACGUUCAUCGAUCCGCUGUCGACUGGAGCUUCGGUACAACACAGCGAAGGCGUUGGCGCGGGGCCAGGAAUCAUUCGUCAGCUGCGCGAUGUUGCCACAGCCGCCCUGCCAACGUUUGGCGUCAUGGAGAAGCGGAGCCCUGUGGAGCCAGCACAGAGCGCCGUCGCGACGUUUACUGUGCCCUCCGUAUCGACCCCUCCGCCAAUGCCGCCGUCGAAGUCGUCGCAUAAGCGCUGCGAACAAGUCGAGGCGGCAAUGCUGAGGGAGCACGCGGACAUGGCUGCCGCCGUCGCGGCGGAUGAGGCGCACGCGGCGGCGGUGCGGCGCGACGAGCUAGGGUACGCCCACCCAGAUGCACUAUUUAGGGUAGCGGACAUUAACGACGAUGAUUUCCUGCUAAUGCGCACUGGCCUCAAAGGCUACGCGCGUCGUGAGGCGGAGGCGGCGGCGCUGGCAGAGCUUGCCGAGCGGCAAGCGCAGCUGGCCGCUUACACAGUCGAUGAGCCGGGGUAUCUUCGCCAGCUGGCGGCGGCGGCGGCGGCCGUGACCAACCCCUGCUCUGGCAGUCCCAAGGGCAGCACAACGUUGCCCAACUCAGGUCUCUCCGCUCAGCGGCGCUCUCGUGUUUCGAUCAAAACCGAACGUGAUGGCGCGGCACGGGACGAUCGCGCCGAGGAGGGUGUCGACGCGGGUGGCGGCGCCGCUCAUGUGGGGGGAUCCAUACAGCUGCCUUCCGAGCUGGAUCCUGCAUGGCAACAAGAUGAUCCUCAACGAGGUUCACGCGAAGCGAGGGCGACGAUAGCGAGGACGGCAUCCAUGGCGAAGAGCUUCACAGACGAGCUGUGGUCGUGGACGGCGACGGAGGCGCAUCGCUGGUACUUUGAUGACCUCGUCCCACUGCACCACGUUCUAACCGGCGCCGAGGUAGACCGCGCACUUAUCGUCGACGUCGCCCUCACCUGCGACGAGGCCGAAGCGUUGCAACGCUGCAGCGGGUACUACCGCUCCCUAGGCCAGUACACGGCCAGCUUCCUCACGCACAAGGCGCUGCAGCUGACGCUGCUGCCGCCCUACGGCUCUCUCUACCGCCUCACAACGCAGUUUCUGGACGUUUGCUUGCUGCAGAGGGCGCCGAUUGCCGUGCGUCUCAUGGACCUCUGGAUGACGCUUGUGGACGCUGCACUGGAAAUGAUGGCAGAGGCUGAGGAGGCUUCGAUGGUGCAGAGAAUCAUAAGCGGAGAGACGCGACUGUCUGCGUUGGCGGCGCUCGCAGACACCCGGCAGGGGCUGAACGUGACCGUGGCGCUCUCCUCCCUCAACUCGGCCUUCCAGCAUGAGUGGGCGACGUGUGUCACGAAUGGCGAAUCGACGGUGAAGCUGGAGUGGAGGUUCAUGUCGAGCAGUGGGGAGGGUCAUGAACGGCUCAGCUCAGCGGCAGAGGCUCUCGGCAGUGAUGCCGGCUUCACAGAGGGCGACGAUACGGCUGAGGAGGGUGUCCGGAACGUCUCUAGCGUUUCCCGUCUGCCACACCAACCCACGCCGUUAUCGCAAGGCAGCGCAGAGAAAGCGUCGAAGAAGUCCUUUCCCAUUCACUCCUUCCUUGCUUCACUCAGCCUGACGGCGGCGAGCCCGUGGUGCAGCGGAGCUUGGUUGCUGCCGGAUCACACGCUGCAUUGCACUGGCGCCAUCUUCCGCACGCUCCUGUUUUGGAAGAGCGCCGAGCGGAUUGUACUGCACACGUGGCGCGCCGGCAUGGAUAGUGGCCUCUCCAGCGUCUUCUUCUUCUGCACUACUGUGCGACAGGUGCUGUUGUCGAGUCUUCAGGAAACAGUGUGGCUGCGACUGGCAGAGCUGACUGCGGCGUACCGGGAGAGUCUGCAGUUUGAGGCCGGGGUCCUCUACACUUACCGUUCCCUUGAGAGCUUUACGAUCGACAAUGCCACAUUCUUGCGCGAGUGCGAGUUCUACACGCUCUGCGGCCCGCAGUUCCAGUGCCGCGUCUGCCCUGUCUUGCAGGCAAUGGUGGACGCCGUGGAGGAAGCGGAGAGGGCGCUGCGGUUUGCGCAGGUGUCAACACGGGUCGCACGGCGUCAGUACAUGGCCACCUUCCGCUCCAUGGUGGGCAGUGGAAGCAGCAGUGACAGCGGCAGUGACAGCGACGGAGGCACGGAUUCCGACUGCUGCCGGCAAGCAAGGGGCCGACCGGUCGCGUCAGCACCUCGGCAUGUCUUUACCCUCUCGCGGUGGUCUCGGCGAGCGCGGAAGCGGCAAAGCGCUGGGAAGGCGCAGGCCGGCGGCAGUGUUGCUUGGGCCUCCCCUUGGCACCUUCAGCCCCUGGAAGACGCCCUGGCACGUCACUCCGAGGAGCUCUCGCCACCUGAAGCUACUAGCGGUCGACUCACUGACGUGGAUGCACCUGACACAGAGUCUGAAGUCGACGUCGACAGCGCUGGCACACCGCGCAGACGCGCCGAAAAAGGGAGAAAAGGGCCAGCAGUGAAGGCAAAGCGGUCGCCGUCCUCGGCUGUUAGCAGCGCCGUGGCAGCGCGCUUCACAACUCCGGUGUUAGACAAGUCGCUGCUUGCCUUGCUGAGCACCGCCGGCGGUGAGGAGGAGACACAUCGCGAAGGCGAUUCAGCGUCCACUGCAGCGCCGCGCAAGAAGCGCCGCCGCGGAGGUAGUCAGCCAGCUGGUGCUCGCCAACCUACCACUGCCACGGCAGCGCCAAUGGCCACGACACUGCGGGCUUCUGCGACUGCACAGCGCUCGCAAACCCCGAAGUGCAGCCGCAGUGCUGAGGUGAGUGUACGGCGGUCCCCUGCUCCGGCUGAGGUGUCAUCCUCGGCAGUAGCAGGUGCUGCAAAAACGGCUACGCCAGCAAUGAAACGACCGCGGCGAGGCCGCCGCCAGCAGAAGCGGAUGCCCUCAGCGGAACGCAAAGAGCGACGCUGCAAACUACGCGCGAUCGCGGAGCGCAAAAUCAAAGAAGAGGUGGACCACCAGCGCCGACUGGUGCGCGACAUGAUUUCUCGCCAGCUGCGUCGCUUCGCAUGGCUCACGCAGUCCCUGCGGAAUGCGCUAUCGGAGGUGAUGGUGGAGGAGGACGUGAAGGGCAUGGAGGACGAGAGCAUUGCCGCCACCGCCACAAGCGACGGCGCGUCGUUGAAGUCGAUCAAGGACUUGCACAAAGCACAGCGGCAGCACAUGAACCGCAACGCCUACAUCUCCACGAUUCUUCGAAAGCUCGAUGCGCUGAUCGAAGUGAUGGCUACCCAAGUGUGAUCCGUGCCUACGAAAAAAAAAAAGAAAGGUGUGCGCGUGUGUGUGUAAACGGUGAGGCAGUUGGUCUCGACAAGGAAAACUUGUUGCAUGGCCAUCGCGCUGGACAGGAUCAGAUGCUGCUGCUUUUGUGGGCUUUUCUCUCUAUCCUGUGCUCAUGCGGUCUUCGGCUCGAUGGGCUGUUUCGUUUUACGAGUCCUUUAUGCCGAGGCAAACAAGGGCCACC